rnacentral:ncRNA from 1 species
CAGAGUAGGCUUUGUGCGUUAAGUGUCACCGGAUGGGAGGUUGCCGGUGAACGAAGGGGAUUCCCGCGUUGCAGAGCCGCAUCCGCUGC